UGAAGUAUACAAUUAUGCCCAUCACUAA
rnacentral:sRNA from 1 species